CCAGACUCCUACGGGAGGCAGCAGUGGGGAAUAUUGGGCAAUGGAGGAAACUCUGACCCAGCGACGCCGCGUGCGGGAUGAAGGCCUUCGGGUUGUAAACCGCUUUCAGCAGGGAAGAAGCGAAAGUGACGGUACCUGCAGAAGAAGCACCGGCUAACUAUGUGCCAGCAGCCGCGGUAAUACAUAGGGUGCAAGCGUUGUCCGGAAUUAUUGGGCGUAAAGAGCUCGUAGGUGGUUCGUCACGUCGGAUGUGAAAAUCUGGGGCUUAACCUCAGACCUGCAUUCGAUACGGGCGAGCUAGAGUGUGGUAGGGGAGACUGGAAUUCCUGGUGUAGCGGUGGAAUGCGCAGAUAUCAGGAGGAACACCAAUGGCGAAGGCAGGUCUCUGGGCCAUUACUGACACUGAGGAGCGAAAGCGUGGGGAGCGAACAGGAUUAGAUACCCUGGUAGUCCACGCCGUAAACGGUGGGCACUAGUUGUGGGAACCUUCCACGGUUUCUGCGACGCAGCUAACGCAUUAAGUGCCCCGCCUGGGGAGUACGAUCGCAAGAUUAAAACUCAAAGGAAUUGACGGGGCCCCGCACAAGCAGCGGAGCAUGCGGCUUAAUUCGACGCAACGCGAAGAACCUUACCAAGGCUUGACAUAUACAGGAAUAUGGCAGAGAUGUCAUAGCCGCAAGGUCUGUAUACAGGUGGUGCAUGGUUGUCGUCAGCUCGUGUCGUGAGAUGUUGGGUUAAGUCCCGCAACGAGCGCAACCCUCGUUCUGUGUUGCCAGCAUUUAGUUGGGGACUCACAGGAGACUGCCGGGGUUAGCUCGGAGGAAGGUGGGGAUGACGUCAAAUCAUCAUGCCCCUUAUGUCUUGGGCUGCACGCAUGCUACAAUGGCUGGUACAAACGGCUGCGAUACCGCAAGGUGGAGCGAAUCCGAUAAAGCCAGUCUCAGUUCGGAUUGGGGUCUGCAACUCGGCCCCAUGAAGUCGGAGUUGCUAGUAAUCGUAGAUCAGCAACGCUACGGUGAAUACGUUCCCGGGGCUUGUACACACCGCCCGUCACGUCACGAAAGUCGGUAACACCCGAAGUCAGUGGCCCAACCGCAAGGGGGGGGCUGCCGAAGGUGGGAUCGGUGAUUGGGACGAAGUCGUAACAAGGUAGCCGUACCGGAAGGUGCGGCUGGAUCACCUCCUU
rnacentral:rRNA from 1 species